GAAAGGAGAGCGGAAGUGUAGGGGUGUGAGGUGAAGAGUGAAGAGAAGCCGGAUUGUCUUCGUCCGUCCUCAGCCGGAAACACCUAAAAUGGAAAAGCUAAAACCGUGCUAGGAAGGCCGAUGUGAGCAAAAUUGAGCUGAUGCCCAUGCUCGCCCAGCCGGGUGUGAGAAGACACGUUCCAGUGAGGGCCACGUGAGUUGCGAGCGGACAGAGAAAGAUGUCCCAGCCUUCAAGAGGAGCGGGGCUUUCCCGGCUCAGGUGGUGGAAAACGGGGUCCUGGUCCUGGGGGCUUGAGGCGGCUCUUUGCAGGCCAGCGAGCCGGGGAGACACGGAGCCCAUCAGAGCUCCCACCCGCUGCCCCGGCCAGUCAGCUGUGGCCAGCUGAGGUACGCUGUACUAGAGACCACAGGGCCGGACCCCCAGCCGUGAGGAUGCAGAGAGAAGUUCUUUUCUUCAAACGUUCCUGCUCCUGCCCCUCCCCACAAUGGAAGGCACGGUCCUUCAUUUGGGGCCGCAAGGAGGUGCGUGCCCCCCCCCCCCCCGCAAGGUCUUCGGAGGCCCAGCCAGCUGGGUUCCGGGUAUGGAGAGGAUUGCUCUAGACUGGAAAGGGUAUCCCUGGAGAUGCAAAUCAGUCCGGAGUGUAGCCUGGGGCAGAAGUGUUCGAGAUUUGAAGACAGAGAAGAUGUGACAUGAUCACUUCGGUUUGUGGACGUAUACAAAGACUGGCGUGGAGUUGGAAGUGAUCUCUCACGAUUUCACCAAACAGCCCUCUUACAGAACAUGUUUCCCCCGUAACGUUGGACUCUGUAGGUUUGGAGAUCCUAGUGCACAUGAAGGAACAUUCCCUGGAGGACACAAUCUUGAACCCAUUAAACUGGAAGCUCAGGUUUAUGACUGGCCACUUUCGGGCUUCUCAUGCUGCUGACCCAGCAAGCAUUGAGUGGGGUUUGCUGUACUGGUCGGGUAGGACAAAAUGGGGGCUAGGAAGCCUGCCUCUGAGCCAGAGGAUUUUCCACAAAGUCUAACCUGUAAUCAGUACCUGAUCAGACUUGCUGUCUCCUUUGGGUAGGGGCCACAGACUUUUUUCCUCUUAAUAAAGGGCACAAGCUCUCUGAUUAAUUUUCCAUCCCUCCCUUGCCUACUUUGUGCCCAGGAGGCUGACCACUACAGACUGCAUCAUCCCGACUUUCUCAUCUUCCAGCUUCCAGUUGGAUUUGACCAAACGGCACCCAAGCAGGAGAUUGUAGGUUUGGAGGAAAUGUAGGCGAGGGGAUUUAUCACGAUUCUGACUGGUUGCUUGCCCCUACUGCUCUGCUGGGCUGACUCUUCCACAUGGUUAUGAUAGCACCAUUCCUCUGUUUGUCGCCUUGGUCUCCCUUUGGUGCUAGUGUCUGGAUGUCUUACUGUUUUCCCUUAGCUGUCCCCAUGUCUCAUAAAGAGGCCCUUCAUUAACUUUCUUCAAUUAAACCUUCUUUCUGUGCUAUAUA